AUUGAACGCUGGCGGCAUGCCUUACACAUGCAAGUCGAACGGCAGCACGGGUGCUUGCACCUGGUGGCGAGUGGCGAACGGGUGAGUAAUACAUCGGAACAUGUCCUGUAGUGGGGGAUAGCCCGGCGAAAGCCGGAUUAAUACCGCAUACGAUCUACGGAUGAAAGCGGGGGACCUUCGGGCCUCGCGCUAUAGGGUUGGCCGAUGGCUGAUUAGCUAGUUGGUGGGGUAAAGGCCUACCAAGGCGACGAUCAGUAGCUGGUCUGAGAGGACGACCAGCCACACUGGGACUGAGACACGGACCAGACGCCUACGGGAGGCAGCAGUGGGGAAUUUUGGACAAAGGGCGAAAGCCUGAUCCAGCAAUGCCGCGUGUGUGAAGAAGGCCUUCGGGUUGUAAAGCACUUUUGUCCGGAAAGAAAUCCUUGGCCCUAAUACGGUCGGGGGAUGACGGUACCGGAAGAAUAAGCACCGGCUAACUACGUG
rnacentral:rRNA from 1 species